ACGGAGAGUUUGAUCCUGGCUCAGGAUGAACGCUAGCGGCAGGCCUAAUACAUGCAAGUCGAACGAGAUUCUAUUCUUCGGAUUAGAUGAAAGUGGCGCACGGGUGCGUAACGCGUGGGGAUCUACCAUAGGGUGCGGAAUAACUCAGAGAAAUUUGAGCUAAUACCGCAUAAUGUCUUCGGACCAAAGAUUUAUCGCCCUUUGAUGAACCCGCGUAAGAUUAGCUUGUUGGUGAGGUAAAGGCUCACCAAGGCGACGAUCUUUAGCUGGUCUGAGAGGAUGAUCAGCCACACUGGGACUGAGACACGGCCCAGACUCCUACGGGAGGCAGCAGUGGGGAAUAUUGGACAAUGGGCGAAAGCCUGAUCCAGCAAUGCCGCGUGAGUGAUGAAGGCCUUAGGGUUGUAAAGCUCUUUUACCAGGGAUGAUAAUGACAGUACCUGGAGAAUAAGCUCCGGCUAACUCCGUGCCAGCAGCCGCGGUAAUACGGAGGGAGCUAGCGUUGUUCGGAAUUACUGGGCGUAAAGCGC
rnacentral:rRNA from 1 species